rnacentral:rRNA from 1 species
UUGGCGGUGUUUUAAACCUCUCAGGGGAAACCUGUCUCAUAAUCGACAAUCCACGCUAUACCUGACCUUACUUUGCUUCUUCAGUUUGUAUACCGUCGUCGUCAGGUAACUUUUAAAAAUUUAGAAGUUAGCAAAAAAGCUAAUUAAGCUUAUACGUCAGAUCAAGGUGCAGCUUAUAUUAGGGCGAGGAUGGGUUACAAUUAUACACUCAUAAUUACGAAAUAAUUAUAAUAAUAUAUAAUUAAUUAU